ensembl:snRNA U6 U6 spliceosomal RNA
GUACCUUCCUCAGUAGCACAUGCACUAAAAUUGGCACAAUACAGAGAAGAAUAGCAUAGCCCCUGGGCAAGGGUAACACACAAAUUCAUGAAGCAUUCUAUACAAAA